rnacentral:lncRNA from 1 species
CCUUCAGAAGAGUGGUAUACGUUGAUAUACGCGAUGACGCAGUAAGAGAAGAGGAGCAGGGGAAACGAAGUUGCGGCACCAUUUUUAAAGAUCAUCAGUGCCUGAUAUUUAUAACUUUGUUUUCCUACAAAUUUGAUAAUUUAAUUUAUUUUAUAGCCGAAUUUUUGUUAAAGACAAAUAUUUUUUUAAGUGAUUUUAUUGAAAAAAAGGACAUUCAAUAAAUUAAGAUGCAUUAGAUAAAUAAAGAAGAGUUGCCAAAAAGAAAAAAAGAUGAAGAUAAUUUUGCAAAUUAAACACCUGAAAUUAAAAGAUAGCUUAGUUGAAGGAUUCCUAUUCCUACUAAUUUAUCUUUUUCCUUAAUUUGUGUUAUUAGGUUUUCCUUACACAGAACAGGAGUUGACUUAAACUCUACCUCCACAACCACGGCCUUUUUCUACACAUCCAUUGGCAACUCGUCUUCCUCCAUUUCCACGGAACCAACACCGGCAACUUGGUCUCCACCAUCAGCACCAACAUGAGCCAUUUUUCAAGACGGGCACCAAUACCUCUAACACGAGCAGGAGCAGGGACCCUUCCAACACCGGCCACUUGGUCUCCAACAUCAGCACCAACAUGGAUCAUUUCAACUUCAUCCUGGGCUUCACCAGCAGCACCAAGGCCACCAUCAGCAGCAAUAUUUGCCAUUUCAACGGCUACUUGGGCUUCAGCAACCGCAUCAAGGCCACCAUCAGCAGCAGCACGGGGCAUUUCAAUAUGGGGGUUGGUGUAAUUCAUUCAAGAUAAUUCAUGCUGCUAUGUUGAGUAAAGUCUCCCGGUUGGGUCCCCAGCCAUGGCUGGUAAUGACACCAAUCUGCAGCACCAAAACAAUUAGAAAAUAAUUUCUAGUAAAUAUUGCAUAUUAUAUCUAUACAUACCCCAUCAAACG